UCAUCCUUCCCAGUGCCCAUAUGUUUCUGUGACUCCUGCUUUCCACAUCCCAGUGAAGCAAUGUAAAUGUUUACUGUGCAUGUAAAGAUAUGUAAAAGUAAAGGGAGAGUGGACAUAAGAUUAGUAUGUGGAAGAUCAAUCCUACAGGACCAAAAUUUUCACUAGAAAAUGCUUCUUUCCCCAAGCUUGGGUCAGUCAUGUUCUGACUUCAAGGUCCCUCCCACAUCGCAGUGCUUCCCAGAUGAGCAGCCAGAACACUCUGGACAACUCCUCUUCUCUGCUCUGAGCCCCUGGGGGUGCUUUGAAGUCCACAGUGUGCACAUUUUUCACAUAGUUAUGAAGUUCCUUCUUUGCUUUUGAACUCUUUGCAGGUGCACACCUGUUCUCCCUAACUAAAUUUUUAACUUUUAAAGAGGAUGAUUUAUGCCAAGCAUUUCAUUGUUACAGUGAAGUGGUACAGUUUCAGGGACAUAAUACGUUUUCAAAAAGUACAAAAGGGAUCGAAACUGAUAUUGAAUUAUUUGGGGGUAGAAAAGAGAAUGAACAACAACCACCUUGAAACGACACGGUUUGAUAGGAGAUGGAAUACUGGUUAGAGGAGUGAGAUAGUGUCAGUUCCUAAAGUAGAAAAGAACAUAUCCUAACAUAAAAAGGUGUUGUCCUUCUUUUAAUAACAAACAACUUUGCAUUUUAACUAUACUUGGAGAGAGGAUAAUACUAGCAUUUAAAUUGCCAUCUGGGGAUGAGGGGGGCAUAGAGCUCAGUGGAAGACUGUUUGCCUAUUGUGCUGAAGGCCUUGGAUCCCCAGAACUGCCAACUGUCAACCAGUUAUAAAGUUAUUUCUUGGGACCGCCUUUAGUUUAUAAACAAUACUAGUACAAUAAAAUACUGAACUUGUCAUUUACAGUUAAUUAUGCUCAGUAGUGCUAAACUACCCCUGAAUGGCAAAACCCAGGGAGAAUUUUUCACUUCCUUUUGUUAGAGUUUUAUUACUGUGGCCAUCGCAAUGGCCACUCAAAGGAAGCAUCUUCCUGACUCAGUUCAUGACUCAGAAGAGGUGGGGCAACCCAAGCACUAGGGGGGCCAGGGUGAUAGAGGAAGGUAUCUGUGGGACAGGAAGAGGGGACACAGGAAGUUGUGUUUGUGUUGAGAGUUGAUGAGGGCCACAGGGCCUCCAAUCCCAGGAUUUGAUUUCCCUGGCUGUCCUUGUAUUGUUCUAUAAAUGUCACUAUAUAGUAUAGGUUCCCAACUAGGAUCCCCUUCUUCCUCUCCAGGGCACUAUGAUGGUGAGACCCACAACUUUUCGCUGUCAGUAGGGGGCAACUGGGAAUAGGAGAAGCCAGGCCUCAAAAAUCAGUGGUGGGGGCUGGGGAUGUGGCUCAAGCAGUAGCAUGCUCGCCUGGCAUGCUCGGGGCACUGGGUUCGAUCCUCAGCACCACAUGAAAAUAAAAUACAGAUGUUGUGUCCAC
rnacentral:lncRNA from 1 species